UACGAGAGCCUCGAGCGUUAUCCGGAAUUAUUGGGCGUAAAGGGUGCGUAGGUUGUUCUGUUAGUCUUUUAUCAAAGCCCGGGGCUUAACUUCGGACACGUGAAAGAUACGGCAGAACUUGAAAGUGCGAGAGGUGUACGGAACUCAUGGUGUAGGGGUAAAAUCCGUUGAUAUCAUGGGGAACACCAAAAGCGAAAGCAGUACACCGGCGCAUAUUUGACACUGAAGCACGAAAGCGUGGGUAGCGAAUGGG
rnacentral:rRNA from 1 species